rnacentral:rRNA from 1 species
UACGAAGGGGGCUAGCGUUGCUCGGAAUCACUGGGCGUAAAGCGCGCGUAGGCGGAUUGCUAAGUCAGGGGUGAAAUCCUGGAGCUCAACUCCAGAACUGCCUUUGAUACUGGCGACCUUGAGUCCGGGAGAGGUGAGUGGAACUGCGAGUGUAGAGGUGAAAUUCGUAGAUAUUCGCAAGAACACCAGUGGCGAAGGCGGCAUCCUGGACCAUAACUGACGCUGAGGCGCGAAAGCUAGGGGAGCAAACGGG